UACAGAGGGUGCGAGCGUUAAUCGGAAUUACUGGGCGUAAAGCGCGCGUAGGCGGCUUUGCAAGUCGGGUGUGAAAUCCCCAGGCUUAACCUGGGAACUGCAUUCGAGACUGCAUUGCUAGAGUAUGGGAGAGGGAAGCGGAAUUUCCGGUGUAGCGGUGAAAUGCGUAGAUAUCGGAAGGAACACCAGUGGCGAAAGCGGCUUCCUGGUCCAGCACCGACGUUCAGGCACGAAAGCGUGGGGAGCAAACAGG
rnacentral:rRNA from 1 species